rnacentral:rRNA from 1 species
CCCUUAGAUGUCCUGGGCCGCACGCGCGCUACACUGAUGCAUGCAACGAGUUUAUAACCUUGGCCUGAAAGGUCUGGGUAAUCUUUUGAACGUGCAUCGUGAUAGGGAUAGAUUAUUGCAAUUGUUAAUCUUGAACGAGGAAUUCCUAGUAAACGCGAGUCAUCAGCUCGCAUUGAUUACGUACCUGCCCUUUGUACACACCGCCCGUCGCACCUACCGAUUGAAUGGUUCGGUGAAGAUCUCGGACUUCGAUAUUUAUUCUUUAUUGAGUUUAUAUUGUGGGAAGUUAUCUAAACCUCAUCAUUUAGAGGAAGGUGAAGUCGUAACA